AUUGAACGCUGGCGGCAGGCCUAACACAUGCAAGUCGCACGAGUGGCGGACGGGUGAGUAAUGUCUGGGAAACUGCCUGAUGGAGGGGGAUAACUACUGGAAACGGUAGCUAAUACCGCAUACCAUCGGAUGUGCCCAGAUGGGAUUCGCUAGUAGGUGGGGUAAAGGCGCACAUAGGCGACGAUCCCUAGCUGGUCUGAGAGGAUGACCAGCCACAAUGGAACUGAGACACGGUCCAGACUCCUACGGGAGGCAGCAGUGGGGAAUAUUGCACAAUGGGCGCAAGCCUGAUGCAGCCAUGCCGCGUGUAUGAAGAAGGCCUUCGGGUUGUAAAGUACUUUCAGCGGGGAGGCGUUACUCGCAGAAGAAGCACCGGCUAACUCCGUGCCAGCAGCCGCGGUAAUAC
rnacentral:rRNA from 1 species